ACGGGUGAGUAAUGCCUAGGAAUCUGCCUGGUAGUGGGGGACAACGUUUCGAAAGGAACGCUAAUACCGCAUACGUCCUACGGGAGAAAGCAGGGGACCUUCGGGCCUUGCGCUAUCAGAUGAGCCUAGGUCGGAUUAGCUAGUUGGUGAGGUAAUGGCUCACCAAGGCGACGAUCCGUAACUGGUCUGAGAGGAUGAUCAGUCACACUGGAACUGAGACACGGUCCAGACUCCUACGGGAGGCAGCAAGC
rnacentral:rRNA from 1 species